rnacentral:rRNA from 1 species
CAGGCUUAACACAUGCAAGUCGAGGGGCAGCAUGGUCUUAGCUUGCUAAGGCCGAUGGCGACCGGCGCACGGGUGAGUAACACGUAUCCAACCUGCCGUCUACUCUUGGACAGCCUUCUGAAAGGAAGAUUAAUACAAGAUGGCAUCAUGAGUCCGCAUGUUCACAUGAUUAAAGGUAUUCCGGUAGACGAUGGGGAUGCGUUCCAUUAGAUAGUAGGCGGGGUAACGGCCCACCUAGUCUUCGAUGGAUAGGGGUUCUGAGAGGAAGGUCCCCCACAUUGGAACUGAGACACGGUCCAAACUCCUACGGGAGGCAGCAGUGAGGAAUAUUGGUCAAUGGGCGAGAGCCUGAACCAGCCAAGUAGCGUGAAGGAUGACUGCCCUAUGGGUUGUAAACUUCUUUUAUAAAGGAAUAAAGUCGGGUAUGGAUACCCGUUUGCAUGUACUUUAUGAAUAAGGAUCGGCUAACUCCGUGCCAGCAGCCGCGGUAAUACGGAGGAUCCGAGCGUUAUCCGGAUUUAUUGGGUUUAAAGGGAGCGUAGAUGGAUGUUUAAGUCAGUUGUGAAAGUUUGCGGCUCAACCGUAAAAUUGCAGUUGAUACUGGAUAUCUUGAGUGCAGUUGAGGCAGGCGGAAUUCGUGGUGUAGCGGUGAAAUGCUUAGAUAUCACGAAGAACUCCGAUUGCGAAGGCAGCCUGCUAAGCUGCAACUGACAUUGAGGCUCGAAAGUGUGGGUAUCAAACAGGAUUAGAUACCCUGGUAGUCCACACGGUAAACGAUGAAUACUCGCUGUUUGCGAUAUACUGCAAGCGGCCAAGCGAAAGCGUUAAGUAUUCCACCUGGGGAGUACGCCGGCAACGGUGAAACUCAAAGGAAUUGACGGGGGCCCGCACAAGCGGAGGAACAUGUGGUUUAAUUCGAUGAUACGCGAGGAACCUUACCCGGGCUUAAAUUGCAGAUGAAUUACGGUGAAAGCCGUAAGCCGCAAGGCAUCUGUGAAGGUGCUGCAUGGUUGUCGUCAGCUCGUGCCGUGAGGUGUCGGCUUAAGUGCCAUAACGAGCGCAACCCUUGUUGUCAGUUACUAACAGGUUCCGCUGAGGACUCUGACAAGACUGCCAUCGUAAGAUGUGAGGAAGGUGGGGAUGACGUCAAAUCAGCACGGCCCUUACGUCCGGGGCUACACACGUGUUACAAUGGGGGGUACAGAGGGCCGCUACCACGCGAGUGGAUGCCAAUCCCCAAAACCUCUCUCAGUUCGGACUGGAGUCUGCAACCCGACUCCACGAAGCUGGAUCCGCUAGUAAUCGCGCAUCAGCCACGGCGCGGUGAAUACGUUCCCGGGCCUUGUACACACCGCCCGUCAAGCCAUGGGAGCCGGGGGUACCUGAAGUGCGUAACCGCGAGGAGCGCCCUAGGGUAAAACUGGUGACUGGGGCUAA